ACUGCUCAGUAACACGUGGACAACCUACCCUUAGGUCAGAUAUAACCCCGGGAAACUGGGAAUAAUACCUGAUAUUGCGCGAAGGCUGGAAUGCUUCGCGCGAGAAAGCUCCGGCGCCUAAGGAUGGGUCUGCGGCCUAUCAGGGUAGUAGUGGGUGUAACGUACCUACUAGCCUACGACGGGUACGGGUUGUGAGAGCAAGAGCCCGGAGAUGGAUUCUGAGACACGAAUCCAGGCCCUACGGGGUGCAGCAGGCGCGAAAACUUUACAAUGCUGGCAACAGCGAUAAGGGGACCUCGAGUGCCAGGAUACAAUCCUGGCUGUCGUAAUGCCUAAAAAGCAUUUCAUAGCAAGGGCCGGGCAAGACCGGUGCCAGCCGCCGCGGUAACACCGGCGGCUCGAGUGGUAACCGCUAUUAUUGGGUCUAAAGGGUCUGUAGCCGGCUGGAUAAGUCUCUUGGGAAAUCCGGCAGCUUAACUGUCGGGCUUUCAGGGGAUACUGUCCGGCUCGAGACCGGGAGAGGUGAGAGGUACUUCAGGGGUAGGGGUGAAAUCUUGUAAUCCUUGAAGGACCACCAGUGGCGAAGGCGUCUCACCAGAACGGAUCUGACGGCAAGGGACGAAAGCUAGGGGCACGAACCGGAUUAGAUACCCGGGUAGUCCUAGCCGUAAACGAUACACGCUAGGUGUCGGCCACGGUGCGACCGUGGUCGAUGCCGUAGGGAAGCCGUGAAGCGAGCCACCUGGGAAGUACGGCCGCAAGGCUGAAACUUAAAGGAAUUGGCGGGGGAGCAC
rnacentral:rRNA from 1 species